UUGAUUGAUUUGUAUUCAAUACUCGACGCAAAGAUGCAGGGUUGAUUGGUCCUCUGGGGGACCCCUGGCCGCGGACGGCCGGGUCGCCCCCCGAGGCAACAGAUAUUAAUCGACAAAGGGUUGGAGGUCGGGCGCGAGGGCCCUCACUCGGUAAUGAUCCCUCCGCAGGUUCACCUACGGAGA
rnacentral:misc_RNA from 1 species